CCUACGGGUGGCAGCAGUGAGGAAUAUUGGUCAAUGGUCGGGAGACUGAACCAGCCAAGCCGCGUGAGGGAGGAAGGUACAGAGUAUCGUAAACCUCUUUUGUCAGGGAACAAAGGCGGGGACGUGUCCCCGGAUGAGUGUACCUGAAGAAAAAGCAUCGGCUAACUCCGUGCCAGCAGCCGCGGUAAUACGGAGGAUGCGAGCGUUAUCCGGAUUUCUUGGGGUUAAAGGGUGCGCAGGCGGUCUGUUAAGUCAGCGGUCAAAGCCCGGGGCUCAACCCCGGCCCGCCGUUGAAACUGGCAGUCUCGAGUUGGAGAGAAGUAUGCGGAAUGCGCGGUGUAGCGGUGAAAUGCGUAGAGAUCGGGAGGAACACCAGUGGCGAAGGCGGCCUACUGGGCUCUAACUGACGCUGAGGCACGAAAGCGUGGGUAGCAAACAGGAUUAGAUACCCGAGUAGUC
rnacentral:rRNA from 1 species